AAUUUGUAUUUUAUUGGAAUAUUUUUAAGGACAUUUCUUAUCUCAAUUAGUGAAUUUAUUAGACAUUGGAAAGCUUUCUACGAAUUAUUAGAUGAAUUAUGUACAUUGAAUCGCCAACAAAAUUCUGAAUAUAAUGAACGUCGUGGGCGUCGAGUGGUUAGAAGAUGCUGUGGAUAAUAUGGACAUAAAUAGAAGAUAAUUUUACUCAAUUAAUUUGUUAUUUUCUUCAUCUAAUCUGAUCAUUAAGACUUAAUCAACAAAGAUGCUGAUUCGACGAAAGAUCCACUUACAUAAACAAAACUACAUAUAAAUAGAACCUAAAGACUUAAUAAUACAACGAAUCAACAUAAACAAUCAAUUUGAUGAACAAUGGAAACCUCAUUUGGAUGAAUACUCUCUCCUGAGAACAAACUCUUUCAUCAUCUAGUCAUCCAUCUCAUCAUUAUCUUCCUACUUAUUCACUAUUCCUAAGGAUUUAUCCUUCUCAUUUCCUUCAUUUCUCUCGCUUUCGAAAGAUAUUCAAGGCUUCUCUUCCUAUUCUUACCAAUAGACUGUCAGAUAAUCUCACAACGAUAAUGAUGAUUAAAGAAAACACGGAAAAUACCAAAGGAAUCAGGUAACGAGUUAAUCGUUAUAAUGGUUAUCCACUUAACUCACCAAGAAAAAAGCUCUUCCAUUGGAACCAAACUGAAAAGAUCCGACAAUUAGUGAAUUAAUUGUCUUUGCAACAACAAUCAACAUUAAUUGUUCAACAAAUUACAUCAGCCAUCAAGGUGUGUUUAAAAACUUGUACCACAACAAUCAACUAUCAAUCAAUCCUUGAGAAUCAAAUCAAAUCAUGUAACUCUGGGAAUUCAUUUUACUUUUGUUUCUUUAGAUGAGACAAAAGAAAAAAAGAGAGAACAUGAAGAUAGAUUUCCAUCAUCUUCUUUAUCAUCCUCAUCUUGUCAUUCAACAUAUGAUUUAAUAGUCUUUGGAUCUAAUUGUCAUUAAUUAAUUUCUUCCUCAUCAUCAAUUGUUGUAUUUCAAUCAAUUUCCUUCCGUGCACAUUGAAGGUGAACCUUUUUCUUUUUCUUGCCACUCGAUCAUCAAUUUAAUUAUCCUUGAUGUGAUUCCAAUGAUUAACUAUUAUGUUUUAAAUUAACUCGGUCAAGGAAUACAACUGAAUCAGGAGCAAGAAAUUCAUUAAAUUAACAUUUUAAAUUGUUAAUCAUCUUGUGUUUACGUUGAUUGUUAUUGUUUUAACUUUCGCUUUACCUAAAUUGUGAUUCAAUAAUUAACAAUGAUCAUGAUUUAAUUUCUGAUCAUUUUCAUGUUCAAAA